rnacentral:rRNA from 1 species
UCAAGCUACUAAGGGCAUACGGUGGAUGCCUAGGCGCCAAGAGCCGAAGAAGGACGCGGUAAGCUGCGAAAAGCCACGGGGAACUGCAAGCAAGUAUUGAUCCGUGGAUAUCCGAAUGGGGAAACCCGGCCAUCGUCAUGGAUGGUCACCCGCAAGGGAGGGAACCUGGGGAACUGAAACAUCUAAGUACCCGGAGGAAGAGAAAUCAAACGAGAUGCCCACAGUAGCGGCGAGCGAAGAGGGCAGAGCCCAAACCGAGAAGCUCCGGCUUUUCGGGGUUGAGGACCGGCAGAAUCGAAGUCAGGCCUAGUCGAAUUACCUGGAAAGGUAAGCGAGAGAGGGUAAAAGCCCCGUAGACGAAAGGCAGAGCAGAGAGGCCGAGAUCCAGAGUACCACGAAGCACGAGGAAUUUUGUGGGAAGCAGGGGGGACCACCCUCCAAGGCUAAAAACUACUUGGCGACCGAUAGCGCAUAGUACCGUGAGGGAAAGGUGAAAAGAACCCCGGGAGGGGAGUGAAAUAGUACCUGAAACCGUAUGUCUACAAGCAGUCGAAGCGAAAGCGACGGCGUGCCUAUUGAAGAAUGAACCAACGAGUUAUCUGCACUAGCGAGGUUAAGUGGAAGACACGGAGCCGCAGCGAAAGCGAGUCUUAAGAGGGCGCUAGUUAGUGUAGGUAGACCCGAAACCGCAGUGAUCUACCCAUGUCCAGGUUGAAGCGCAGGUAAAAUUGCGUGGAGGACCGAACCGGUGAGCGUUGAAAAGCUUUCGGAUGAGAUGUGGGUAGGGGUGAAAUUCCAAUCGAACGCGGAGAUAGCUGGUUCUCCCCGAAAUAGCUUUAGGGCUAGCCUGAGGUAGUAAGUAUAGGCGGUAGAGCACUGAUCGGGCUAGGGGCCGUAAAGGUUACCGAACCCUGUCAAACUCCGAAUGGAUAUACUGUAGAGCCUUGGAGUCAGACUACGAGUGAUAAGAUCCGUGGUCAAAAGGGAAACAGCCCAGACCACCAGCUAAGGUCCCCAAUGUCGUACUAAGUGGAAAAGGAUGUGGGGUUUCAUAAACAACCAGGAUGUUGGCUCAGAAGCAGCCACCAUUUAAAGAGUGCGUAAUAGCUCACUGGUCGAGAGACCCUGCGCCGAAGAUUCCCGGGGCUAAAGUACGAAACCGAAGCUGUGGCUGUAUACGUAAAGUAUACGGGGUAGGGGAGCGUUCCCAUAGGGUAGAAGUCGAACUGGAAGGUUCGGUGGACUUGUGGGAAGUGAGAAUGUUGGUAUGAGUAGCGAAAAGAAAGGUGAGAAUCCUUUCCACCGAAAGCAUAAGGAUUCCUGAGCAACGAUCGUCGUCUCAGGGUAAGUCGGGACCUAAUCCGAGGCAGAGAGCGUAGGAGAUGGACAACUGGUUGAUAUUCCAGUACCGGUAGUAAUUGUUUGAGCAAUGGAGUGACACAGAAGGGCAGGCAAGCAUGCGAAUGGAAGAGCAUGUGUAAGCGUGUAGGGUGGUGCAUAGGCAAAUCCGUGCACUGAAAGCCUGAGGCGUGAUGCGGAGUGAGCAGAGAUGCGAGCGAAGUUGUUGACCCCACACUGUCGAGAAAAGCUUCUAGUGAGAGAGCUACCGCCCGUACCGUAAACCGACACAGGUAUGCGGGGAGAGAAUCCUAAGGUGCGCGGGAGAACCCUCGUUAAGGAACUCGGCAAAAUGUACCCGUAACUUCGGGAUAAGGGUAGCCACUGUUGUGAAGUCCCAUGCGGAUGGAGCAUAGAGUGGUCGCAGAGAAGAGGCCCAAGCGACUGUUUACCAUAAACACAGGUGCCUGCUAAAGCGAAAGCUGACGUAUAGGUGCUGACACCUGCCCAGUGCCGGAAGGUUAAGGAAGGAUGUUCGGAUUAGUCCAAAGCAUUCGACUGAAGCCCCGGUGAACGGCGGCCGUAACUAUAACGGUCCUAAGGUAGCGAAAUUCCUUGUCGGGUAAGUUCCGACCCGCACGAAAGGUGUAACGAUUUGGGCACUGUCUCAACGAGGGACCCGGUGAAAUUGAAAUACCUGUGAAGAUGCAGGUUACCCGCGACUGGACAGAAAGACCCCAUGGAGCUUUACUGUAACCUGACAUUGGGUUUUGAUACAUUACGUACAGGAUAGGUGGGAGGCUUGGAAAGUUGGACGCUAGUCUGACUGGAGCCGACGUUGGGAUACCACCCUUGAUGUAUUGAAAUUCUAACCGCGAGAGUAACGAAAUCCGGGACAGUGUCAGGCGGGCAG